AUACGUAGGGUGCAAGCGUUAAUCGGAUUUACUGGGCGUACAGGGAGCGUAGGCGGUUGGAUAAGCCCUCCGUGAAAUCUUCAGGCUUAACCUGGAAAGUGCAGAGGGGACUGUUCAGCUAGAGGAUGGGAGAGGAGCGCGGAAUUCCCGGUGUAGCGGUGAAAUGCGUAGAGAUCGGGAGGAAGGCCGGUGGCGAAGGCGGCGCUCUGGAACAUUUCUGACGCUGAGGCUCGAAAGCGUGGGGAGCAAACAGGAUUAGAUACCCUGGUAGUCCCCGCCUUAAACGAUGGAUACUAAGUGUCGGCGGGUUACCGCCGGUGCCGCAGCUAACGCAGUAAGUAUCCCGCCUGGGAAGUACGGCCGCAAGGUUGAAACUUAAAUGAAUUGGCGGGG
rnacentral:rRNA from 1 species